CUUGAAUUUAUUUUUAGCAAAAAAAUACUUAAAUUUUGUGAAAAGCGGCAUUUUGCCACCAAAAUGGUAUAAAAUCGGCGUGGCAUAAAGGCAAACAUCAUUUAUUGACAGACGAAAUAAAAUGUGCAGACAUGAAAAUAAAAAGAAAAAAAGUGAAAAGUGCACAAUGAAAAAAAAAAAAUUUCGGGAAAAACGAAAAAAAUAAACCUGCAGCAAAAUUCAGACAUUACUACAUGUGCCUGUCAACAUUUUAAUUAAAAAAGGAUACGCGUCUCAUAUGAAGAACGGAUGUUGGCAAAUACGCGCGCAACCAAAUAGUCAACACAACUGACCGCCACACGAGCCGGCAGACUGGGAAGCGCGACGGAGACGUCGACACACAUUAAAAUAUUUGACAGAGGGCGCAACAUUCGCGCUUUUGUCAACAACAACAAGAGCAAGAAGUGGAGUAGCAACAAUAGUAAUGACCAGUAGUGGCACUCGAGUAAUUUUCCUAUACUUGCGCGGGGGUAUGAGUGCAGCGGCACAAUGAAAGGUAUUCUGACGGGAGCAUGGAUUGAGUACAGAGUGAAGUUGGCGAGGCAGCAUAUUGUGCGCUGGAUCGGGUCAUUACGUGUUGGCUGCUGACAAUAGACAGUUCGUUGGCACAAAAAUCAAAAAAAAAAAAAAACAGGCACAACAAAAAAGCAUGUGUAAUGAGAAUCUCAACUGACCUGUGUAGUGGUGGUCAAGCCGUCAGCGUGCGGAAGCCACUAAAGGCUCCAUUGCAACUGCUCAUACUUGCAAUCCAUUUUUCGCUCGCAUAUUUCGCUCUCAACAUCGAACUGCCUUAGCUAUUGUUUGCAUCAUUUUAAUUUUAUUUAUUGUUUGCCUGCCACUCAAAAUACAUAAAAACGUGCAAUGAACAAUGGCUUUUACGCGUUGCCUGUCAAGUCACCGUUAUGCGCACCACUGUGGUCCAAACAAUCAACCUGUUCGCUGGGCUCUAACUCACUGCAAGCACUUCCUCCCGCCCUGUUUUAUUUGUUGUUGCUGAGCAUUCAAAUUAGAUGAAUUGCUUUUUGGUGAGCUCUAACUCAAACCUUGUGCGACCUCCGCUUUCAUUUGUCGCUGACCGUUCGCUUUUGCGCCGCUGAGCAGCAGCUUUUGCUUGGCAUUCUCGCUCUCUCGCGCUUCGGGCACAAGUCAUUCGUGGACAGAAGUCAUUGAUGCUUACAGUUUUAGUAAUUUCGUUUCGUUCUCUAUUGCUUUCAUCCUAAAUUUAAGUUGCAGCUUCCACAGCACGUAUGUAUGUCGUUUAAUCGUCCGAACUGCCCACGAACUCACGGUUGCAUUUCAUUUAUAAUGACUUAUCGUCAGCUUGGUCGGCCAACUAACGGACCCACCGCCAUUUAUGCAGUUACUUCCACCUCUAAUGCCACCGCAUACUCGUAUGCUUAUUACAUUUCGUCUCGCCCUCUCUCUCUCUCUCUUGACUGCUUGCUAUCUCCUUCCCUUCUACCGAAUUUUACAUUGUUGCCCCCGCUUUUGUGUUAUUUUCUAGUCAUGUCAAUGGUUUUGCGGACAUUUAUUGUUUGAAAGCUAUUACCCCUGCCAUGGCGCUGAUACUCAUCCUCAAGGCAACUAUGCUCUACUCAGCUCAUUUGGUUCGUCACUUGGGGACCCAUUCGAAAAACGACACGGUGGUCGUUGGUCGUCGACACUCUGUUUUUGAUUGUUUUGCAAAAUGUUUUACGUACUCAGUCAUUCAUGCAAAUCAUCUUAACUGGUUUGGGUACUAUAUUUCUGGGGAGAGAUUGCAGCUUUGCAAUUGCAGCAUGUUUGCUGGUUGAAGGCGAAGUAAAAAAUUCAAUGAUUUUAUGAAAAGAAUAGCCUUGAGUGCUGGAAAAUAUGCAUUUUAAGUGCCGCGCCGCAAAUAAUCAUAAAUUUUUACUUUUCAUUUGAGUAUCAUUUCAAAUUUGUGGAUGUAAAAAGAGUGGGAGAAAGAGAGCGGAAGAUCAAGCGCUGACCACUUCAAUUUGUUUUAAAUGUCAUGUUGACAAUAUUUGUACAUUCAUGGGAAGAUUAAAUGAAGAACAAGAAGCUGAAGUAAUACUAAAUUAACAUACAUUAAGAUUACUUAAGUGAUCCGAGGCUUCAGCAUUUAGUUUGAUGUUAGAAGCGCACAGCCUGAUUUUGUCUCUUUGUCAUGUAUGAUCGAGAAAGAUGACUUCAAUCUAUCAGUACUCUUAAACUUUCUUUUUAAAUAUUUUGGAAAUCUAAAGACUGUUUUAACUGAAACCUUAACUCCAAAGCUUAAAGAAAAAAGAAUAGUGGAUCUAACGAUCUUCACAUAAGAGAAAGAAGAACUUAUGGCUUGAAGGACAAUCCACCUUACUCCGUCGAUCUUUUAUGCAGACGACGUAGGUUAGAAGAAGUCAACUAUGCUGGUCAACAAACAGAGUUUGGGUGGUUGCGUGAUCCUUUUUACGUAGCUCUGAAUUAUAUGCUCUUAGCAAUGUUCAUCAUAUCGUAAUCAUCGGUUUCUGACUGGAUACUGUCCAAUCAUGACGUGUGCUAAUUGGCAAAGCUGAAGGCGACUUGGAAUCAUCUAAGAGAUUUCUUUUCUACUGACCAGUUUUUACCAGACAGAAGUUGAAGCAUCGCGGUGAAGCCACUGAAUUCUCUGUAAUUGAUAUUACCCGCCUUAAAUAAAUUGUGGAUCAGGGUUUACAGCAGUCCAAGUGCUUCCUUACUUUCGGUGCGAGGAUAAAUCCCAUGAUGUAACCAAGAAAGAGAUGUUGAUAUCUUUCAUUUGAAUAAGGUACAGAAGGGGAGACUAAUGCUUAGCUCGACAUAGUAAAGGUCAAAUAGAGAUAUUUAAGAGAAAACACCCUAUUCAGGUACCCACGCGCAGCACCACUCUGAAAGUCAUAUAUCUGUCGGCAAGUAACCAAAAUUCCGCAACAAAUUACGCAACAUUAAAAUUGUCGUCACAUUUCUGAGGAAGUUUUUCAACUUCCAGGCGCAAUAUAAACAAAAAAGUAAGGGAAUGAGAAAAAUCUCAAAUUUUUACGACAGAAGUACGCAAUUGCCAAAAGCAACUUUAUUUUUUUUUUGUGUUCGUCAUUUUUUUCGCUCGAAAAAAUACCUUAAGGGCAGUCUAAUGACUUUUUAGCGCAGCCACGAAGUGGUCAACUUGAGUCGUAUGAUGAAAAAGUUGCAUUUACGCGCACAUAAAUUAUGCAACGUAGUAGCUUAUGUGAGCGCCGUAGUUCACAUAACCUCACUUUUAGUGUGCAAAGAGACGAGACAAGCGAAAAACAAAAUUUAUGAGCACAUCAACGCAUCAAAAUUAUAGACUGGACAAUGGUCAAUUGAGAAAUGGCACUGUAGAACACGCACACACACACAUGUAUGCUGAAGUAAAUACUAUAGUCUACAACACCAACAAUGCGCAACAAAUAAACUCGCUUACUAUGACUUUGUAUACGGUGAGACAAUGAACUGUUGUGCACAGCAGGAAAUUACCGCUUCACCAGCGCUUCAUCGGCAUCAUCAGCAAUAAGAAAUGACACUAAAAUGUCCUUGUUUAUUGCCUGGUUUAGCCGAUUUUAUUGAACAACUUUUCUGCAUAUAAAUUUGCAGAUUAGUUAAAAUUUUUCCAACAAUACAAACAAACAUAUAAGAAAUGCGCAACUGCAAGGAUAUCAUUUGCCUUUGAAGGACAAUGAGUUGUGUGAGUCUACGUGUAUAUGUGUGUUGCUUGAGAACUCAUACAUAAUUGUAUGUCUGAAAUUAUUACGUCUCUUUUGUUUAUGAUCCUUAAGAGUCUUAUACGCUCACUGUUGCUUCUCAUUAAUGCUUAUUUUUAGUGUUGUUAUUGUUGCUAUAGCGCAGAAAAUGUGAUAAAGUAGACAAACAAGUAAAUAAAAUUUGUACAAAGAAUUUGUGAUGAGAC